rnacentral:lncRNA from 1 species
UCAUCCUGAUUCACAAGGACCCGUCUUUCCCUCUCCUUAGAGGGAACAGAAUCUGAGUCCUGGAACUGCCUUUGAAGAAUCAAAAUUGGCUUUGGAGAUGAGAAAACACCAAUGUUGGAGAGGACUGUGAAGAAUUUGAGUUAGAAAUUGAUUUCUAAAUGUGGAAGCACAACAUAGUAAUACAUAUUUAUCAUAUUAUAUAUAAUAUAAACAUAUAAUUGCUUCUAAAUUAUCAAGUCUAAUUUCAUAAGUAUGUAUUUGAUCUCCUUAAACGUUUAUAUCAUGGGACAAACCCACAUUUUUAUUCUCUCUGGAAAAGUUUUUUUAACUCCCACACUGAAAAUUUUUCUUAGAAUUGGGUUCAGCUUGUAUUUUGACACUUAUGGUUUUAUAUAUAUAUAUAUAUAUAUAUAUAUAUAUAUAUAUAUAUAUAUAUAUAUAUAUUUAAAUCUAGAGUUACUUGCACACAUCAUCUAAUCACUUGUUUUUAAGUUGAAUGUGAUGAUACACACACACACACACACACACGCACGCGCGCACAUUGAUCAGCUGUUAUUAUCACCCAUUUUCUGCAUGAGGCAGCAGAAGCACAGAGAAGAUACAGAAUAUGCCCAGGACCCCACAGUGGCAUUCCCAUCUGAAUGUUUGUGUCUCCUCCAAAUUUAUAUGUUGAAGCCCUAAUGCCAGAGUGAUGGCGUGAGAAGUGAGGCCAUUGUCAGGUAAUUCGAUUUAGAUAGACCAUGGGGGUGUGGCUCCCAAAAUGAGAUUAGUAUUCUUAGAAGAUGAGGAAGAGACCAGACCUCUUGGCCAAGUGAGGACACAGUGGGAAAGCAGCUAACUAUGAGCAAGAACUCUUUCCAAGAACUCAAUCUGCCAAAACUUUGACCUUGAUCUUCCCACCCUCUCAAAUGGGGAGAAAUAAAUAAUUGCUUUUUAAGCUUCCCAGUAUUUUGUUAUAGCAGCUAGAACCGAUUACAGCAGCAAGUAAAAGGACUUUGUGAAUAUUAAAAUGAAAUAAUGUAUGCAAAGUGGUCUAGGAAUACUAGCUUUAUCAUAUAUAUCACCAUUACCUAGCCUUCCUAGAAAAGGGUUUUGAUGGAUGUCCCAGGAGGCAUGCUUUUUAAAAAGCUAACUCUGAACACCAGAGGUAAUGGAAAUUAAUUGUGUUUUUGCAUUUCAUUUUGUGCUUUCAUUAGGUCAAAAAGGUGUGCUCUGAGUACUUCAUUUUUUGUUAUGUGUAUAGGUUUUUUAAAAAAAUAUUCAGAUGCUCUGGGAUAUAAUGGGAGUGAACAAAGUGAGGGUCAGAAGGGAAAGAGAUGCAAGCUGGGGCCCGUGAUUUGGCUAAGCUUCCAGCCCUCCUCCUGGCUCUUUCUUUCACAGGAACUAACUAUUGCUUCCUCAGCACUGUUACAGGGACAGCUCUGCAAAGGCUGUGACCCUGGUCAUAGUCCACCUGCAACACCCCUGCUCUGUAAAACCAGCCCAAGGGCUCUUACCGCACAGAAAUUCUUUAGCCCUCAAGGUCACUGAAACUUCCUUAGAGUAGUUUAGAGUAGAUGAUGAAGGUUUGGCAUCUAUUAAAUGAUUAUUAUUAGCACAAUGUUCUGAGUUUCAUGUAUAAAUAUUGAUUGGCACAUGGGCCCUAACCCUGGAUGUGUCAGCCAAUCUACACCAUUUUUAGGUCAGCGUUAAUCCCAUCUCUUCCCUUGGAGCUCUGGAGGGAAGAGCUGCUUCAUCCAGGUCUCCAAGGCCUGGCCCUCAGGGGAGGUAUUGCUUUGGCUCUUCCCCUUGCUACCAUUGCCACUGCAGUUGCUGAGGCCUUGAUUGCUGUUGGCUUUCUCACCAGUUCUGUCCUCUGCCCCUUCUGCCUUGUCUUCUCAUUCUCCCUCAAGUUCUGGGAGGAGAACUGCUGCGUUCACUUCGAGGACCCCGCACUGGGAACAUCAUCCCAAAUUCUGACAGGAACACUGGGCUGGGCAGAUCCAGGCUGCCAGGCCUUGUGACUGCAGGGAACUGGUCAUGCAUCUCAGAGGCAUUCCUUGUUCCUGAACUAAAGCUGGACACAAUCUGGGUUUCUGAGUCAUCUUCAGACCCAAAGUUGCUACAGAAACAGCAUCCGGCUCAGGUUGGCCCUCCACCAGGUUCUCCGCAGAAGUGCUGCUGCCCUGAGCCCCCCACGUGCUGCAGUGUGGCCGCUCUUGGAUCUAGCCCGAGAUGCUCUGCAGUUUCUUCAGGGCUGCCUUGUACUCGCCCUUGGCCAGAGCCAGAUCAUCCACAGGCUCAAGCUGCACAUAGUACUUUCCCUUGAGUUCAAAAUCAGGUUUGGACUUGCUGAUGGCCCUCUUUUGAGUUUCUCCUCCUGCUGUCACAUGCGGCCUAUGGCAGCAUCCUACCUGGCUGCAGUCUCCUUCUGCUCCAGCUCACUUCUCCUCUUGGUCCUCCAAGAUUCACCAGCUCCUGCCAGGAAGAGUGGUACUUGUCAUCCUCCAGCAGCUGCUAGGUCAGGGAGGUGGUCUCUUUGGCAACACAGAGCACCUCUGUGGCCCUCUUGAAAUCCCGUGUGGCUUCUGAGCUUCCAGCUAAGGCCGCCGCCACCCUCCACGCCUCCC